rnacentral:rRNA from 1 species
GACGAACGCUGGCGGCGUGCCUAAUACAUGCAAGUCGAACGCUUUUUCUUUGUACUUACCUUGCUUCAAAGAGCGGCAGACGGGGGCGUACGGGGUGGUAACUCUUCGUUAGACCGCGGGACAGCGGUGGAUAACGCAUGGUAACAGCUCAUAAUACCGUUAAAUAUAAUUUUCAGGUUGGAAAGAUGCUAUAACAUCACUCAAAGAUAAUCCUGCGUUGUAUUAGCUAGUUGGUGCGGUAAAGGCUCACCAAGGCGGUGAUACAUAGCCGACCUGAGAGGGUGAUCGGCCACAUUGGGACUGAGACACGGCCCAAACUCCUACGGGAGGCAGCAGUAGGGAAUCUUCGGCAAUGGACGCAAGUCUGACCGAGCAACGCCGCGUGAGUGAAGAAGGUUUUCGGAUUGUAAAACUCUGUUGGUAGAGAAGAACGUGGGUGAGAGUGGAAAGCUCAUCAAGUGACGGUAUCUAACCAGAAAGCCACGGCUAACUACGUG